rnacentral:tRNA from 1 species
GCGGGUGUAGUUUAGUGGUAAAACUACAGCCUUCCAAGCUGUUGUCGAGAGUUCGAUUCUCGUCACCCGCU